rnacentral:rRNA from 1 species
AUGUACAUUCUUACAUCAUAAUGUUAAUUCACUAGAUCCCAUUAGAACUUUGCAGUUAAGCACACUCGGACUAGAGUAAUACUAGGAUGGGUGACUGCCUGGGAAGUCCUAGUGUUUCACAUA